CACUUAUAGAUCUAAUUAUAAGCACCGCCUGCUCAAUGAUUCAUUUAAUAGCCGCAAUAUUUUGUGCCAAGGUAGCAUAAUCAUUAGCCUACUAAUUAUAGGAUAGAAUGAAUGGCUUAACAAAUUAAUUUUGUUUCAAAAAUUCUUUUUAAAAAAUUUAUUUUAAUGUAAAAAAGCCUUAAUUUAAUAGAAAGACAACAAGACCCUAAGAAUUUUACUAAUAGUUUUACUAGGAUGGUUAUAUAAAUACACCCUAUACUUUAUUUUUUAAGACCCCUUUUCAAUGAAUUAGAAUAAAUUACCUUAGGGAUAACAGCAUAAUUAUUUUUUAAAGAUCUUAUAAAAAAAAUAAUUGUGACCUCGAUGUUGAAUAAAUCCCUUUUCUAAGUAACCUUAAAACAAGAAAGUCUGUUCGACUUUUAACUUUUUACA
rnacentral:rRNA from 1 species